GGAAUAUAUGAAGAGUUUGGGGUCUUCUGUCAUUGAAAUAAUCAAAGCCAAGAAUAAGCGUGAACUGUUGGAGCAAAAAAUGGACGACCUACUGAGUCAUCAGAGACAAUUUGUCGAAAAUAAUCGUCGGUCCUUAGAACAGAAAAGAAAAGGAAAGGAAAAGUCUUCUACAUUUCUAAGAAGUGUUUCAUCAGCUACAUGACUUACUGACAGGGGAUCUGCCGUGCGACCAGAUAAACCAGGACUUGCAGCAAGCCAACGAUGCUCUACGAGCAGAACUCAACAAAGAAAUGGAGGAAAAAAACCUUCUUCGCUGCCAGUCUGAUCAAAAAUCUCAAGAAAUCCAUCAGCUGCAAGAAGAACUGAAAACAGCUAAACAGUUUCUGAAGGAGACCCAGAAUUAUGCGGAAGAGAUGAAAAAGAAGAGUUUGUCUCAGGAAAUACAAUUAGAAAAGAAAGAAGCUGAGAUUCGGGAUUUAGAGGGGAAAAAUCAAGAUUUGACUGAGGAACUUGAGAAAGUGCAGUCAGAGUUGCAACUUAAACAAGCUGAGAUCGCUCAUCUCCAAAAUCUAUCUGCAGCCGAGUUGGCUUGUUUAAAAAAGGAAAUAGUAAACA